rnacentral:misc_RNA from 1 species
CAAAGAUGAAAUCGAGAUCACAAAAUCGGCGUAGUCGAGGAAGUGUGGGGGGGCGAUUAAUUGAAAGGUUUCAGAUCACUGGCCAGUCUCCCCCAGGACCCCCACACUUGCCCAACCCACCAGGAAAACUUGGCCAUUUUCUAUGCCCUCACGCUCACUCACAAGCUUACAGACACAACCCUUUCUCUCUAUACAUAGUACACAAAUCUAUGCUUUGCUUUGGAAAUAGAGCAGCAGGAGGGAAAUGAUCAACACCAACUCAUCCUCAUCAUCAGCGAAGCCGCCUCCUCCUACUCAACCGCCGCAAUCGAUGGCCGCAUCAUCAUCUACAGCGACCAAGACAUCAACGGCGCCGCCUACCUCUGAUGGCUCAGGCAAGAAGGUGAGGAAGCCCUAUACCAUCACCAAGUCCCGAGAGAGCUGGACCGAAGAAGAGCACGACAAGUUCCUCGAAGCUCUUCAGCGGUUUGAUCGUGACUGGAAAAAGAUAGAAGAUUUUGUGGGUUCGAAGACAGUAAUCCAGAUUCGGAGUCAUGCACAAAAAUACUUUUUGAAGGUCCAAAAGAAUGGGACAACUGCACAUGUGCCUCCUCCUCGUCCUAAGCGUAAAGCUGCUUAUCCUUAUCCACAGAAGGCAUCCAAAAAUGUUUUAGUGCCACUCCCAGCAUCCCUGACUUACCCUUCUUCUGUGAAUACACUUGCACCUGGAUAUGCUCCAUGGGAUGACGCUUCCAUGUUAAUAAAUAUUACAAGCAGCAAAAUCAUGUCAUUGCAAGAUGAAUUUAACAGUCUUCAUGGAGCUGAAGCUGAUAUUGGAUCAAAGGGGAUAGCAUGGAUAAGUAACAAUAAUGUUAGUGGCCUGGGGACCUUAAGUAGAACACGGCCAAGUUCUGAGAUACCAAAACAAGGGAAACAGGCUCCUGUGCUUCAUGGUUUACCAGAUUUUGCUGAAGUAUAUAGUUUCAUUGGGAGUGUCUUUGAUCCAGACACCACAGGUCAUGUGAAAAAGCUCGAAGAAAUGGACCCUAUAAAUUUUGAAACUGUUUUGUUAUUGAUGAGGAACCUCACUGUUAACUUGUCUAGCCCAGAUUUUGAGCCAAUUGUAAGUAUUAUUGCUCUUUUUUGUAGCUUGUAACUGCAUAAAACUGGUUGUUGAUAAGAAUGUACCACAAUUUGAUAUGUUAGAAAAAGAAUUAAAAAACUUCCUUGGUACAUUUACUUGUUUUACUUAUCUUGGUUCAUUGAAUUUGAAAGAGUCCUACUUUUGAUCUUUAUACAACAAUGAUGUUCUCCAUGCAAUUGUACUACAUAGUAGAAUUUUACAUAAAAAUAAUUCUUUACUUUAUGCAGAUAAGGAAUUAACAUAUUUCAUUUUUUUUUUUAAUGUUAAAUAAGUGCAUGUUUAAAUAGCUUGUAUGAAUUUAAAAAAAAUGUAUUGCUUCAUGAAGUGGCAAUUUUGGUGUUGAUAAGACUUUUUUUAUCGAUCAUUUCUCCUUAAAGAGAGUCUGUAUGUUAAGGCUUUUAUGUGUUUCCAUAGAAGUCUAUUGCAAUUUGCAAAUGAAGUUCAGUAAUUGAAAGAAUUAUAUUGUAGAAAGGCUGAGAGGGGUAGUAAACAAACAAAAAAAUCGAGAGCAGUUAUUUUUACCAAGAGGGUGAAGAUAUAUGUUCAAGCAGAGGAUUCAAAUGUGAAAUCAGUUACUUGUUCUGUCCUAGACAAAUAUGUAAAAGAGAUGGUAUGCUGUUGUGGGAACUGAAUAUGAAUGAGAUUCCAAAUUGUGAAAAGACUGUUUGGCUAACUAUGAUUUGUGAAGCAUGUGAAUCAAAAUCAUUGACUUCUGAAUCCCUCUCUUCAUAAUCUUCUCUCAUGUCACAAAUGCACUUUGGUCUAGUUAUAAUUUAGAACGCAAAAUGGCCCUUUUACAAUAUCUUUGAGAUAGGAUUCAUUUUAGAUAUAUUCUUUUAGUUAAAUGAUUAGCAUUUGACAUUGCUAGUUGAUCUCCUUGGUUAAUUCAGCGAAAUGUCCUGUCUUCCUAUGACAUCAAUACCAAAACAGUGGGAGUAACUGCCAAGAACCAAACCAAUGAUAUAUCAAGUUGAAUUUUUGCUACUCGCAACUUGCUGACUAGCGAAUGUUUUAUUCUUACUCUUCUGGUUUUUUUUUCCCCAAUGCCAUGCCUCUCUUUACCCUAAUCUCCUAAUAACUUCUCUCUUCACAGUAACCAGGUGAUGUGCACCUAGAAUUUCUUGCCGCUUCACUGCAACAAUUACAAAUGCCCAUCAUUUCCUGCAGUGCAUACCCUCAAAAUUAGGGAACUCAAAGCAGCCAAAGCCAAGAAGUAUCUAAUGGUGGAAGAAAGCUUUCUAUUGAUUUAUAAGAUCUGCAAUUACAUGGAUCUUGAUUUCCACUGAAACCAGUAGGAAUGGUUGACCCUAUUCUAUACAUGAUUGGGCCUUUCAAGCACAAGUGUGUAUAUGUUGCGAGGUUUGCUUGGUGGCUAUUUAAUCGUUCGUUAAUAUAGUUAAUUUCCAUGUGAUGGUGUACUCUUUGCCAAGGUGGUGUAAUUUUGUAUAUGAAACUUGCUUUUUUUUAUUGUCAGUAUAAGGUGUUACCUUUUCUUUAUUUCUUGUCCCGGUGGGAUUUCACAUUCUCGGAGUAAAGAUGGUUACAAAAGUUGAUUAUGUUCUAUUAA